ACACACGGAUAACAUACCGAAAGGUAUGCUAAUACGGGAUAAUAUAUUUGAGAGGCAUCUCUUAAAUAUCAAAGGUGAGCCAGUACAGGAUGGACCCGCGUCUGAUUAGCUAGUUGGUAAGGUAACGGCUUACCAAGGCGACGAUCAGUAGCCGACCUGAGAGGGUGAUUGGCCACAUUGGAACUGAGACACGGUCCAAACUCCUACGGGAGGCAGCAGUGGGGAAUAUUGCACAAUGGGCGAAAGCCUGAUGCAGCAACGCCGCGUGAGUGAUGAAGGCCUUCGGGUCGUAAAACUCUGUCCUCAAGGAAGAUAAUGACGGUACUUGAGGAGGAAGCCCCGGCUAACUACGUGCCAGCAGCCGCGGUAAUACGUAGGGGGCUAGCGUUAUCCGGAUUUACUGGGCGUAAAGGGUGCGUAGGCGGUCUUUCAAGUCAGGAGUGAAAGGCUACGGCUCAACCGUAGUAAGCUCUUGAAACUGGGAGACUUGAGUGCAGGAGAGGAGAGUGGAAUUCCUAGUGUAGCGGUGAAAUGCGUAGAUAUUAGGAGGAACACCAGUUGCGAAGGCGGCUCUCUGGACUGUAACUGACGCUGAGGCACGAAAGCGUGGGGAGCAAACAGGAUUAGAUACCCUGGUAGUCCACGCUGUAAACGAUGAGUACUAGGUGUCGGGGGUUACCCCCUUCGGUGCCGCAGCUA
rnacentral:rRNA from 1 species